GAGGAAGGCAAAGAAUAGAAACAUCAAGUCUUUCCGAAUGGCGAGCGGAUGAAUGGGUGCCCAACUCAGACGGGAAGUCUCGGCCGCUGUGAUGAUCAAAUAAUAUAUACAGAUUUGGAACAACUUGAGGCAUUCAGGAAAACGAAACCCGCUGCCAAGCAGGAAGAACGUCAGUGGCCGAAAAAGUCAUCGGGAGGAACUUGGAAAGAACACGUUUGAUGUCAGCGCCAGCAUAUUUUUGGGCCCGUGCAGAACAAAGGGCCCUGGUAUAUUUAGCGACGGUCAGGAAGCAGGCCGAGAGAAGGGCCCGGGGGUUCAGCGGAGACCUCGUCCACUUUCCCACACUUGCGGAACGGAAACAGGCGAUGACAACUACUCCACCAAGAGGCCCCAGGUCGCCCGUUAGGGGAGCCAUUGAGCUCAGAGGAAGGAAAAGGUUAUAUAGACCCCCCCCAUCAAUAUCCCAGCUUUCUAAGAGUGACCUGCAAUAGCUUUUUUUUCUCGUGGCCUCAUUUGCAUAUACACCCAUAUUCUGUACACAGCACAAUACAGCCUUUAUUUUUCACUAAUUGGCCUGCAAGUAUGACCUCACAAAGUCAAGUUUUCCGCAUUUAGCAAAUUGUUGCAGGCAAACACAUGGCGCAUCUCUGCAUCGUUCUGGAUACAUCUGUGCUCUAUCUACACAUGGCCUGUGUUGUUUGAUCCUGGCAUGCACUCAAGCUUGGCAUACUUUAGUGGCAUGCUUAUCCUAGACGCAUUUCCUCCUCAGGAAACACAGUAUUAGAUUGCUGUUUUAUUUAUUUUGUUGAUUCACACAGCUUGACUUCAGCAUGCUCAAGGGAUGAUGAAGCCUGCUAAAGCAUUUCCCGUUGCAUUCGCUGUUGUUCUUGUUGACUGAACAGAUCUUUUCCUAAUCUUUUAGUUUCUGCUAAUACUUACAGCUAUUAAUUUCGCCUGAUGUGGGGUAGAGCUCCAGGCUGAAGUGAGAUGCCCUAUUAUGUAAAAUAUCAAUAUUAAA